rnacentral:ncRNA from 5 species
UAACUAUGACUCUCUUAAGGUAGCCAA